rnacentral:lncRNA from 1 species
GGGGAGGAGAAUUAUUGAUUCAAAGGACCUUAGAGCUCAAAAGGUCCUGAGAGACCAUCAUAACCACCCUCUUUAUUUUACAGAUACAGCUUCUGAGGAUCACGGGGAUGAAAGGCAUGAACUGGGCUCACACAGCUAAUGCAUUAGGACACCAGAAAAGGAAGAAAAGACAGUGGCAGCUGAAGACAUUUCAGGAAUGCUUCACUGAGAACCUAAGUCUUGUUCUGGGCCAUAAAGAAAAGGGGAGGGUGUGGUUUCUAUACCAGAGAUAAGAAAGGAGAAAAUUGGACGUGGAGGAAAGAUAUGAGUACCAAUCCGAGCGAACAAGGAAGAGUGAGUAAAUCUGUCCAGCUGGAGUUGGAGUGAAAAAGGUGCCUGCUUCUCCUUCUGCCAUGAUUAUAAGUUUCCUGAGGCUUCCCCAGCCAUGCGUAACUGAGUGAGGACCUAGAAUUUUAAUGUCUAAUAUGCGGUGUGAAUUAAAGAAGCGGCCUUGCUAUGCUGACCUUUUCAAUAUUCUAAUCUUUGCUUUGCUGACCUCUCAGGCCUCUUCCUGGCAACAGUUAGGCUUUUGAGAGGAGAGAGAGCUGAGACUGUUGGCUCCUUCCCAUUUAUGAGAGAGCCACAUGACAUCAGCCCAUAGACUGUGGAGAGUAUUCCAGAUCUAUCACAUUCUGCGAUUCUGCGAUUCCCAGAAGGCUGGUCAUGAAAAAAUUCCCUCUUCAGUUUACAUAUAUGGCAGUGGCACUUCUAGAUAUCUGUUGAGGCCUGGAAGGGGCAAAACAAUUCAGGAAGCAGUUGAAGAUAAAGGGGUUUACCAUGGAAGAGAAGAUCCAGGUGCCUUCAUGGAAAUGCUUGUGGUUGAAAAGAGAUGAAGAUGAGGGUCCCUGGAAAGAGGAAGAACCAGCCAGGAAAAUUAUACCAUUAGCAAGACUGGCAUCAGCAAGUAGUUCGCAGUGUUGGUUGUUCUUGGUUUCGCAGGAUUUUAUAGGAGAUGGACCUUCUCCUAAAAGUCUUAUCUUCUAAGUCUCCUAAGUCUUGGACUUUUCAAGGCCAAAGAUUUAAAGGCCAAGUGGACCAUACGGGAGAUCUAGUUUCCCAUCCAGACAGCCAAGCUCAUGCAUCCCUGGAUUUGGAUGGAUGGUUUCCCAUGGGGCCUUGGACAGAUUGGACCCAGCACUGGCACAGGGUUGACUUGGAGGAAUAAGCUCCUGGAAACCUCAAUUAGCGUUUGGGGUAUGAACAUUAAACAAUACUGAAUCUGGAAACAAUACAUCACACAGCGGGUCCAAGGAAAUAAGCAGAAGGCUGGCAGCAGGCCAGGGCCAGGGGCCAAAUCGCUCCUCAAAGACAAUUCUUCAUGGAGAAAUGACAGCAGGUUUGAGGACAGCAGAAUUUCGCUCUUGUUGCCCAGGGCUGGAGUGCAAUGGUGCAAUCUCGGCUCACCACAACCACUGCCUCCUGGGUUCAAGCGAUUCUCCUGCCUCAGCCUCCUGAGUAGCUGGGAUUACAGGAAGUACAAAAACAUCCUUGCCGUUUGCUGGAAUGAUGUACUGCUGAAGGCAAUGGACACUGGGGUUGUUUGUCCCUAAUCACAAGUGAGCAAUACCAGAUCUAUUAUCUCAGGUUCAGAGAAGUGAGGUGUCUGACCUUCAGACAGGAUUGAAUGCAGAGUAAAAUAAUUCCAAAUAUGGUCUGGGCAUUGCAUGUAAUACAGAGUAAAAGUUAUUGUAAGACACUUUCGCCAGUUUCUGUCACUUGGUUCCUCAAAUGUUUAGUUCAUUCUAAUUACAUAAUCAGCCUUCUGAUUCAAUGAAGACUGAUGGGAUUGCUGACUUGCCACCCUGGAGUUCAGUUGGCAGCAAGUGAGGGAAAAGGUGAACUCUGUAAACAAGGUUUAGAAGCCCUUUUCUUAACUCUUUAUAAAACAGAGAAGAUGAGGAAGGAGAAAGGCACUGUCAUUAAGCUCUUAGCCAGGGAAUUACACAUACACACACGUGUGUGUGUGUGUAUUUCAACUCAAUGUACAAGGACUUCUCAGCCCAUAGCUACUUUGAACACAUUGUUUAUCCCCCAUAGCAUGAAGGACUAAAGGAACCAGAGAUUUCAUAAUCUCUGGCCUGUAACGUUUUUGCUGAAAUAUCUGCUGUUAUUCUAAUGGGGUUUCCUUUAAAGGUGACUAGUCACUCUUCUUUUGCUAAUUAAUUUUUUUUUUCACUUUGACUUUAGACAUUCUGAAUAUAAUAUGCUAUGAUGAAGCACUUUAUGCAAUGUAUAUUCCUGAGGAUUGCUGGGCCUCCUGUAACUAGAUGUCUGACUCUCUUGCUAGAUGUGGAAAGUUUUCAUCAAUUAUUUUCUUAAACAGGUUUUCUAAGCUUUUAAAUAAUCUUUCUUUCCCAUCAGGAAUACCAAUAAUUUCUAAUUUCAGUCACUUUAUGUAGUCCCAGACAUCUCAAAGGCUUUGUGCACUCCCUUUUAUACUUUUUUGUUGUCGUUAUCUUUGUCUUACUGGAUUAUUUCAAAAGACUUAUCUUCAAGUUCUGAGAUUCUUUCUUCUGCUUGAUCUAUUCUGUUAUUGAAGCUUUCAAAUACAUUUUGCAUUUCCUUCAAUAGUUUUUUUAGGUUUAGAUUUUCUGCUUUUGCUUUAUAAGAUACCCAUCUCCUUGAUACAUUUCUCAUUAAUAUCCUGAGUUAAUUUUCUAAUUUCUUGAAGUUGGCCCAAGGGUGGAAUGCAGCCCCGUGUUAAACUCUCAAAACUGUGCCUUGGGCCUGUGACCAGACAGAGCAGAUUUCUUCUCAAGUAAGUAGCAUAGAAAAGAGAGAUCCAAAUAAACACAAUCAUAAAUGAAAAAGGAGACAUUAUAGCUGAUAACACAGAGGCACAAAGAUCAUCAGAGACUAUUAUAAAUAACUAUAUGAUCACAAACC